rnacentral:rRNA from 1 species
UACGUAGGGGGCUAGCGUUGUCCGGAAUCAUUGGGCGUAAAGAGCGUGUAGGCGGUCCGGUAAGUCCGCUGUGAAAGUCGGGGGCUCAACCCUCGAAUGCCGGUGGAUACUGUCGGGCUAGAGUACGGAAGAGGCGAGUGGAAUUCCUGGUGUAGCGGUGAAAUGCGCAGAUAUCAGGAGGAACACCUAUUGCGAAGGCAGCUCGCUGGGACGGAACUGACGCUGAGGCGCGAAAGCGUGGGGAGCGAACAGG